rnacentral:rRNA from 1 species
CGUAAACGAUGAGUGCUAAGUGUUAGGGGGUUCCGCCCCUUAGUGCUGCAGCUAACGCAUUAAGCACUCCGCCUGGGGAGUACGACCGCAAGGUUGAAACUCAAAGGAAUUGACGGGGGCCCGCACAGCGGUGGAGCAUGUGGUUUAAUUCGAAGCAACGCGAAGAACCUUACCAGGUCUUGACAUCCUUUGACCACUCUAGAGAUAGAGCUUUCCCUUCGGGGACAAAGUGACAGGUGGUGCAUGGUUGUCGUCAGCUCGUGUCGUGAGAUGUUGGGUUAAGUCCCACAACGAGCGCAACCCUUAUUGUUAGUUGCCAUCAUUAAGUUGGGCACUCUAGCGAGACUGCCGGUGACAAACCGGAGGAAGGUGGGGAUGACGUCAAAUCAUCAUGCCCCUUAUGACCUGGGCUACACACGUGCUACAAUGGACAGUACAAUGAGCAGCGACACGGCGACGUGAAGCGAAUCUCAUAAAGCUGUUCUCAGUUCGGAUUGUAGGCUGCAACUCGCCUACAUGAAGCCGGAAUCGCUAGUAAUCGCGGAUCAGCACGCCGCGGUGAAUACGUUCCCGGGCCUUGUACACACCGCCCGUCACACCACGAAAGUUUGUAACACCCGAAGUCGGUGAGGUAACCGCAAGGAGCCAACCGCCUAAGGUGGGAUAGAUGAUUGGGGUGAAGUCGUAACAAGGUAACCAAGGGCGAAUUCUG